UACAGAGGGGGCAAGCGUUGUUCGGAAUUACUGGGCGUAAAGGCGCGUAGGCGGCCUCUUAAGUCGAACGUGAAAUCCCCGGGCUCAACCCGGGAACUGCGUCCGAUACUGGGGAUCUCGGAGUCCGGAGAGGUGAGUGGAACUGCGAGUGUAGAGGUGAAAUUCGUAGAUAUUCGCAAGAACACCAGUGGCGAAGGCGGCU
rnacentral:rRNA from 1 species